UCCUACAGUCAUUCUUCCACACAUAAAGGGAAAACGGACUCACUAGGAGGACCUAGACUGUUUCAGCCUGAACUGUUAACCAAUGGUGGAAAUGCAAGAAUGCUGAAGUUGUGCCUUCAGAGCCAAUAGAGUGGAUUUGUGUGUCCCACAUGACUGUGUUUCCUCUGUCUUUCACAUGGGCAGUAUUUAGUUCAAUUCAGAACUGCAGAUAGUAUAGCGUGCAGAGCAGCAAUGGGAUGUCUGAGCACAAGUGGCUGACUUCCAGGCGACUUCAGGAAGCACAUUUGUACAUUUCUCCUGAAUUUAUCUGGGAUUCUGCACCCUUGACACCCUCUGACCCUCCUCGUCUCUGCAGAAGGAGACAGCGACCUGCACAGCACAACAAAACUACAAAUCACCACAGAGCUGCAGACCAGCAAUGAAGGGAAGUGGGCAAUUUGGCCAACAUCAUCUGUGUCGGUUCUCCAGAAGUUGAUGAAACAUGUUAUCGGGUCUCCAAGUUUGCAUUUUACAGCCCACAAGCCUCAGAAGAUCACUGUGUGGAAGAAACACACUGGGCCAACCCAUCCUGUCCAUCUGACACAAAGCACAGCCCAUUUUGGGAUUCUUUCCUUUCUGAAGGAGUCUCAUAUCAGGAGGGGGAAGACCUAAAACAGCAUAGAAACAAAAACUGCUUUCCUCAUGGAAGAAUGGUAACUUUGGACAACAUUUGGCACCACAAGUUCAAAGGGCUGUUUCAUCUGCAUUAUGAGCAUCCAGGUGUCAGCUGGUGUAAACGCAGAUGCCGCUGACGUCAAUGGAGCUGUGUCAGUUUACACUAGCUGAGAAUCUGAUCCCAAGUGUGCUAGUGCCACUUUUAGAUGCUACCACUGGAAUUCACUUUUGCAAGACAAUUUUAAAAAAAUACAUCCACAUAUUGCAUUUCUUCCUGUCCCCAAGAGUAUAGCUGGAAAUCUGUUGACAGACUGUGGGAGAGGGCAAGCAGGAGGUGAAAGUAGCCAACAACUGUAUUGAUGAGAUAACUUUCCAGUAUCAGUAUUAACCCUGUUCUGUUGUCUUCCUUUUAUACAAAAGGAUAUUUUUCUUCAAAAAAAUCUGAAUUCUACCUUUCAGUAAGAACUAAAUGUCAUCAAAAGAAAAAUGAUUCUGUAAACUGUGCAGAAUAUGUCUCAUAAAUAUGUUAACAUCCUAUGUUAAGCAGGAUACAAUCUGGAUAGAUUGUUCUAAUGCAUCAUUAGAAAAAGUACCUAAAACUGCAAGAGCCCCAGGCUUGAGAUCUGUGUAUUUGUUCCUAAGAAAACUCCCUUCUGUACAGGCAGUAGGACUGGUAAAAUUCUAAGACAUCUGUUUGAAGUAGCCUGCAAGCCAGACUUCUAUCUGGCUGACAGCUAUCAUUCCUAUUCCAUCUAGCAUUUCUAUGUGGGGAGAGAGAAGGAAGAAAGGGAAAGGCGGGGCAAUAAGCAGGGCAGAGCAGUUUUUGGCAGCUCCACCAUUUCUGAGCAGGGAGAGGAAGCUUUUGCUCCUGUUCUACAUAAGGCUGUUGUUAAACACGAGUGCACUGUGCUACAGCUGCCAGUAUUAACCAGUACAGUGGUGGAACACUGGUCUUUUAAAGCAAGAUAUCAAGGUCAAAACAGAAAAGGUGACUAAUUAGAACCAAAGAUGCAGUUCAAAUAGCAUUGAAGUAAUUGUCUGUUUGUGCAGCACAACACCCAUAUCUUCAAUUUAGGUCAGGCCAUGAAGAGGAGGAAGAGGACUAAAGACUGAAGAUGAGAUGCUCUACUUCACACAGUUGCCCUCUGGAAGGACUUGCAAAGGCAGUCACUUAAAUUAAGUACAGGUCAUCAGACAAGAUAUCUAAUCUAUUCCUAAGACUGGCAGCUCUAGCAGUCCAAAUCCCCAUGGCCUUUGCAGCCACACGAUGAACUACUUCCUCAUGUACCUCUGUCAAUUCACGUUAGGUUCCAAUUGUUUUAAAGUGAUAUUUCAUGUACACCAUGACCCUAUUGCUCGUAGCAAGGAAAGUGUUUUGGUUUAUUUAUGACCUACUAACCUUAAAUAAUAAUAAAAAAACCCCAACAUACAUCCAGUCUGAAUGUUCACAUAAGCUUGUGGAUCUGAAAUAAAAUUUAAAAUAAAGCUGGCAUUUGUAACAGCUAGCUAAGCCUGGUAAGGGAUUAAAAAAAAAAAAAAAAAAAAAAAAGAAAACCAGAUGAGAGAUGAUGACAGCAUAUUUACCCUGCAUAACCUACACACACCAGGAAUUAGGGUUGGAACCCAGGAAUACUUUUUAUACUCAGUUUCAGCCCAUUUCAGAGGCUAGAUAACCAAGGAAAUCCUGAGGUUUUUCCAUUAUAGGGGGUGUGAGGCAUUAAUAAUAACCUGUGAAAGUAAUUCCUUCUAAGAUGCAAUCCACCCAGCCACAAGCUCUAUGUAGCUCCUCUUCCUCUCCUGCCCUCCAUCCUGAUUAUCAGAUACCAGCCAGGCAAGACCCCAUAUUGAAAUAUGAAGUGACAGAUGGAAGCAGGGAAUAUGAGCAUAGGAAUAAGUACUGAAAGAAAUGACGUACAAAAAGCAAGUUCAUAAUAGGGUGGAUCUGAAACAUGAGCAACCCUAAACCAUAAAGUCAGUUCAUUUGGCUAGAACAAUGUUGAACAGAUGCAGAUGCACAAAAGACUGAGUUGGAGAGCCUUCUUCUCUCAUCACUCAUGCUGCUGUACAGAAGUCUUCUCGUAAUAUCCAUGGAACGAAACCUUUGAAAAACCACUACAAAGAAACAGAAAAAUAAACUUCAAAGCUAAACUACUAGCAGCAAACAUUCUAUACAAUUGUAUCAGGAAAGAAAGAGGCACUGCCACAUUUGAUUAGAAUUCAGAUAUAUUCCUAACCACAGUGACCUUCCUAAACAAAAUACAUCUAAUCUACCAUAAAGAAGAAAAUCAGUGGAUUCCACUCUUGUCUAGUUCUCCAAUAUACUAUAUUAACGACUUUGUCCUUCAGUAAUAUUAGAUAAAAAUACAGUUUUGUUUGAUGAUGUAGUGAAUACCUCUACCUGCAGAGCAAUUAGUUGAAAGAAACAGGACAAAGUCCUUGUCAUGGUGUUUGUUUACACAAUCAACACAGGUACCGUGCCUAUGAGCUGCAGUCUUUUGGUGCAGGUUCCCUUUACAAAAGUAGAAACAAACCCCACAACAUUCAUAGAGACUUAUAAAUAAUCAGAGAUUGACGAGAGAGUAUAGAGCAUCUUUUACCGAAAGAUAAGGUAAACAGCAAUUCAGAGAAUUCAAUGAAUCACUCACAGUUUCAGCACAGCAAGAGCAGACCUAGCAAAAACGAAUUCUGACCAGCUGAGCAUCGAGAACACCUUCUGCAGAAGAACUCUGCUCCCAAAUGCAAAUAAGAGAGAAGUUUGGGAAACUGCCAGCUCCGUGCACAAAAGACUGAAAUACGAUGGGCAGAGAAGGGUGUUGGUGUUGGUAAGAGAAAAACGAUUGAAGUUGCAUCACCUGUACGAUUAAAAUCACUGUGUGAAUUUUGAUUUUCCCCCCUCCUUUCAGACCUUUGAGGAUGCGGUCAAGUCAAUGGAGUUCUGUUGUAGUGGUUGCUUCAGUGAACAUUCAACGCUGUCGGUGAGUUUGGAAUUAAAGUGAAAACCAUCGACCGUUGAUUGUACCCUCCAGCUAACCAUCCUCCUCCUUACUUCAUGCUUUCAGGCCUUAACACCGAAGAUAGCAACCUAACCAUCACAUGAUGUUUCUCCCCCACCCUGCCAAGCUUUACAAAAAAAAAAAAAGGUCACAAUCAACAUUCAUUGCUGUCGGUGGGUUUAACUUUGUGGACAAGCUCACUGAACAAUGAAUGCAACUGUGGCCCCACAUUUUACAGUUGCCGUUGAGAGGAACAGCAGCUCUGAGAGCAGUAGUGAGAGACAAACUUCUUAUAAGCUACAUUUUACUGGUCAGAAAAAUAGUUGGGAGUAUUCACUUUUUGCUUGCUUGUUUUUCAGUGUGUUUGACUUAGCUGACUGGAAAAAAAAAAACCACCUGCCUUUUUCUGGAAUAUUGUCCUUACAGGGUUCAGUCUCACUGAAACCAUAAAAACUCUUUUUUAGUGUGUGUGUAGAAAUAAAUAACUCUACAGGAGACUCUGUAUAUCCACUUCUAAGGACCUUGACAUAGAAGGAAAGAAUAUUUAAAUGUCAUUUUAACUAGGCAUUGUGGAAAUAGUUAAAAUUUUUUUUCUAUGCUUGUUAUGACAAAUACAAAUGGGAGCAAAUGAGGUUUCAAAGUUGUGGAUCAAAUGUUAUAUCAAAUAAAUUAAUUAAUUUGAUAUGAAAUUGUUUCUGAGCACAUAAAUAUUAUUAGACAACGCAUACUAUUGCAUUUGGCUUUUUUAGGCAUCUGAAAGAUGACAGAGAAGUGUAUAUCCAGAAAUAAUAAUGGAAAAGCAGUUAAAUUGUAAAAUUACUGUAAACUGAGUACCUAUGUCACACUCUCAGUAUUGGAGAUAGUAAUAAGAAAAUAAAAGCAUACAUAAGCUCAAA